CUUCGGGUUUCUCUUCAUCUCGCUGGAAAUCUUUUCGCCUUUUACUAAAGAUUUCCGUGGAGGAACAGCCCGAGUUCACGGUAUUUUUGGAAGCUCUGCUCGGGCGGAGUU